rnacentral:rRNA from 1 species
UACGAAGGGGGCUAGCGUUGCUCGGAAUCACUGGGCGUAAAGCGCACGUAGGCGGAUUUUUAAGUCAGGGGUGAAAUCCUGGAGCUCAACUCCAGAACUGCCUUUGAUACUGGGAAUCUCGAGUCCGGGAGAGGUGAGUGGAACUGCGAGUGUAGAGGUGAAAUUCGUAGAUAUUCGCAAGAACACCAGUGGCGAAGGCGGCUCACUGGCCCGGUACUGACGCUGAGGUGCGAAAGCGUGGGGAGCGAACAGG